rnacentral:rRNA from 1 species
ACGCUCGACACCUACGGGAGGCAGCAGUGGGGAAUAUUGCACAAUGGGGGAAACCCUGAUGCAGCGACGCCGCGUGAGCGAAGAAGUAUUUCGGUAUGUAAAGCUCUAUCAGCAGGGAAGAAACUGACGGUACCUGACUAAGAAGCACCGGCUAAAUACGUGCCAGCAGCCACGGUAAUCUGGAGCGGGCUGGCAAGGC